AGUCGAGCGCCCCGCAAGGGGAGCGGCAGACGGGUGAGUAACACGUGGGAACGUGCCCUAAGGUACGGAACAACUCCGGGAAACUGGAGCUAAUACCGUAUGUGACCGAGAGGUGAAAGAUUCAUCGCCUUGGGAUCGGCCCGCGUCUGAUUAGCUAGUUGGUGGGGUAAUGGCCUACCAAGGCGACGAUCAGUAGCUGGUCUGAGAGGAUGAUCAGCCACACUGGGACUGAGACACGGCCCAGACUCCUACGGGAGGCAGCAGUGGGGAAUCUUGGACAAUGGGCGCAAGCCUGAUCCAGCCAUGCCGCGUGGAUGAUGAAGGCCCUAGGGUUGUAAAAUCCUUUCGUCAGGGACGAUAAUGACGGUACCUGAAGAAGAAGCCCCGGCUAACUUCGUGCCAGCAGCCGCGGUAAUACGAAGGGGGCUAGCGUUGUUCGGAAUUACUGGGCGUAAAGCGCAUGUAGGCGGGUCGUUAAGUCGGGGGUGAAAGCCCAGAGCUCAACUCUGGAACUGCCUUCGAUACUGGCGACCUGGACCCAAGGAGAGGCGAGUGGAAUUGCGAGUGUAGAGGUGAAAUUCGUAGAUAUUCGCAGGAACACCAGUGGCGAAGGCGACUCGCUGGACUUGUGGUGACGCUGAGAUGCGAAAGCGUGGGGAGCAAACAGGAUUAGAUACYCUGGUAGUCCACGCCGUAAACGAUGAGAGCUAGUUGUCAGUAAGUAUACUUAUUGGUGACGCAGCUAACGCUUUAAGCUCUCCGCCUGGGGAGUACGGCCGCAAGGUUAAAACUCAAAGAAAUUGACGGGGGCCY
rnacentral:rRNA from 1 species